ACAUGAUCUGCCUUAUGUCUUAACAGGAUUUCUUGGGGGCUGUGCUGGAAACAGCCAAGCAGGAUGUGGAUGGCAGCAGAAGGAUCCUCUGUGAAGACCUCAGUGAUAAUCCAGAUGAGGAAGCCAAAGUAGAGAGAAGUGGAAGAGAUGCUGCAGACCACUGGGUUCUUAAUGAAGCUAAUUAACUUUAGUAAAAUUGGAUCUCCUGUAUCCUUCAAUCAGUCAGUUAGCUACCGCCCCUACCAGCAGAACCUGUGUUGCCGGAAGAGUGGAGCGAGCUUCGUGGUUAAAAGAAAUGGAGCUAGAGGCAGACAGAAGUUGGCAUCGCAACCACAUUGCUGGCUGUGCCAUAGUGGGCGGGUCGUGCGGACUCUCUGAGCCUCAGUGUUGUCAUCUGCAGGAGAAUAAGGACAUUUAUGAUAAUGGUAUUUAUCUCGUUGACAUGCUGUGAGGAUUACACAAGACAAUGCAUUUACAGCGCUGAGCUUAGCCAGCAGACAGGAGGCUCUCAGUCAGCUUUGGAUGAAUUAAACUCCCUCGCUUUCAUUUCCGUCUGAAAAGGGAAAGAAGUCUGAGGUCUAGGCAAUGGAUGUCUUCGGGCUACUAGGUGAAUGUGAGGACUGUCACUUCACACCUGGUGUUUUUGUCACUUUAAAAGGCCUCAGGUUCUCGGUGACUCUGGGUGUCAUUUCUAGGCGGUUGACUUAAUAGGAAACAGGACUGUUCUCUCCCAGAACCCUGACGCGUUCCUUUGCCUGGAGAAAAAUCCCAAAGCCUUGGGAGGCAGUUCAGUGGUGACCUUUCACAGGCAAAUUCACCUCAGGCCUGGGCGGGAAGAGGCCCGGGGAGGGCCCCUUCCCCCGAGCCGAGCCCCGCGCUGUGGGAAUUUCCUCCCGCCUCACUGGGCCAGCCCUGGCUGCGCCUCACUGGGCCGCCGGUGGUUUCUGUCGCUGCUGAAACUGCUGUGGAAAGUUUAGCUCGAGAAGAAGAGGGAACUAGGGUGUUUUGAUUUUUUUUUCCCCCUUUCUUUUUGAAAGUCGAGCCACCCUGUGACUCCAUGUCAGAAACCUUAACCCAAACCAAAUGCUUUGCCGAUGGGGUGACCGUGUGGCGGGGCCAGGCCGGGGCAUGUUGACAUCGCGAAGACAGUGACACUGGGCAGGGGCCAGAUCUCCUCAGAAAUCAAACGGUACAGGUUCACACGCCACCAGGGACGGCUGGAAUGUUGCUUUGUUUUGGACUCUGGAUUAAUAGUCUAACCCCUCCCUCCUCACCCCCCACCCUACCCCCAAACUUGAUUUAUGGUUGUGCAGACCCGGUGGCUCCCCUCCAACUUUAUUUCUUUCUUCAAAAGUAAACAAGGAUUUUACAACUCCAUAACCUCCCCAAAGUUUGUUUGUUCUUCCCUCUGUACAGUGUGGGCCAUGUUUGUUCCCUGGGAAAGUCUCUUCUCUAAUUAUUUUCACAUUUCAACAGCUUUUGUUUCUUCUUCUUUCCCUGAGGUUUAUAAAAAAAUUGCUGCAGGCUAAAUUGUACCGUAAACAUUUUCUCCUCGGCACAUGGGAGCCUCAGUGACUGGGGGGCCAUGUUGCCUUUUCGUACUCUGUAACGUGCCAGGAGGAAAUUUGAAAAUCCUGAAGUGUGCUCCUUUGGAGGGCUGAAGGAAAAAUAUGUAAAUUGGUAAAAACGGACGAAAUUCAACUGAUCUUGUACAAGGAGCCUUUGACAACACUGGGUGUGCAAGCCUCAGCUGAGGAAAAAGGCUGCCUUGAUGACUGACUGACUUUUCAUCUUAAGUUGGGAACUUUCUGCCUCUAAGCACAGAUGGAAACUUGGUGCAUUUUAAGGAAAUAGGAUUUAGAAAAUCAAAAGCUAAUACACCUCAGCAACAUCUUGGGUUACCGGACAGGUAAUGGCUUGCUUUAACCAAAAACUGCGAAUCUAACCUCGAUGUUUAUGUAUUCGGUUUGAAGACUGAAGGAUCUCUAACAAUGGCAGUCGUUGGUUCUGGGUGAAAUCGGGGCUCAAAGGGAUCGUGCAUUGUUUGUUUCUCUCCUCCCUUCUAUGGCCUGAUGUGUCUUGCUGGUUUCACUACAACCUCUCCAUACAGCCCUACUUGACUGUAGGUGGCCCGAGAAUCUCCGAGUCACACGUCCCAUUAGCUCUUGUGUGAAAUUCCAGAGCUGCCCCUGAGCAUCUCUCCCGGUAUCUGACAGGAACCCUCAAACCUAAGUGUCUAAAAUGGAAUUGUGAUCUGACCUUCAGUCUGCACUCCUCUCAAAUUCCCCACCUUAGUGUGGGGUGCCAUCAUCCACUUGAGGCCCCUUGCAAGGGAACCUGGAGUCAUUCCACCUUCCCGGGCUCUCUUACCUGAUCAGGCCGUGAAUAUUGUCCAUUCUAUCUGCCCUCUGUCUCUUGAAUAGGAUCACUUCUCUCCUUCCCUACAGACAUUUGCCUCAUUCAGGCUUUGAUCGCCUCUCACCUAAGACCACCACUACGGCCUUCUUGUCGGUCUCUGCUAUGGUCUGAACAUGUGUGUCCCUCAAAAAUCAUAUGUUGAAAUCUCAAUGUCUAAUGUGAUGGUAUUAGGAGGUGGGAUCUUUGGGAGUGCUUGGGUCAUCAAGAUGAAACCCUUAUAGUGAGAUUAGUGCCCUUACAAAAGAGGCCCCAGAGAGCUCCCUAGCCCCCCUCCCACCAUGGGAGUAGCAGUGAGAAGUCCACGGUCUACAACUCAAAAGAGGGCCUUCCC